AGGACCAGCACUAUCCAUUGCACCACCUAGCUGCCCCAAAAGGAAAAGGGAGGAAGAUUUAUUACUCUUCACUUGCUUUUUCUCCAUGAGAAUUCCCCAAAUAUGGUAAUAAUGGGUCAUCUGGCCUAUGCUUAAAGACAUCCAGUGAGAAGGAACUCAGUAUCCCUCUACGGCAUCCCAUGCUCUUUAUUGUUAGCUACAUUUGUAAAUGUGGGAAUAAGAAAGCAUCACAGAGACCACUGGCCUCAACCUGAAUGUGAAUGAGGAUGUACUCUGCAACAUACUUGCAGACUGGUUAUCAAACCUUUGAUGGAUGGCUUCUAGCUAGCAGGAACCCACUUCCUCCUGAGGUCCACAGUCCAUGGUAUCCCCAUCCUCACUGGAGAGAAGCAGCAUAUGGCAGAAUAUAUGAAGAUGAAGGGAUUCAUGCUCAGCCUUAGGGAGAAAGAAAGUCAGCUUCUGAGAUGCACCCCCUCCCCAACCCACCAUAGCACAGCAUCCAUGUCCUGCCUUACCAGGGUUUUGGCUACGUUCCCUCUCUGUGUGAUGUUUUUGCUGUGCUUCUUGUUAGCCAUCCGGAUCCGCUGUUUGGCCACCAUUGCUUGGCUGCUUUUAAUUGUUUUAAACUCCUUCUUUCUCUCUUCUUUCUUUCUUUCCUUCCUUCAAGUUUCCUUCCUUCUU